GACGAACGCUGGCGGCGUGCCUAAUACAUGCCAGUAGAACGCUGAAGGAGGAGCUUGCUUCUCUGGAUGAGUUGCGAACGGGUGAGUAACGCGUAGGUAACCUGCCUUGUAGCGGGGGAUAACUAUUGGAAACGAUAGCUAAUACCGCAUAAUAGUAGAUGUUGCAUGACAUUUGCUUAAAAGUUGCAAUUGCAUCACUACCAGAUGGACCUGCGUUGUAUUAGCUAGUUGGUGAGGUAACGGCUCACCAAGGCGACGAUACAUAGCCGACCUGAGAGGGUGAUCGGCCACAAUGGGACUGAGACACGGCCCAGACUCCUACGGGAGGCAGCAGUAGGGAAUCUUCGGAAAUGGACGGAAGUCUGACCGCGCAACGCCGCGUGAGUGAAGAAGGUUUUCGGAUCGUAAAGCUCUGUUGUAAGAGAAGAACGAGUGUGAGAGUGGAAAGUUCACACUGUGACGGUAUCUUACCAGAAAGGGACGGCUAACUACGUG
rnacentral:rRNA from 1 species